UCUCACUGCCUCCGGUGGCUGCUGGGAUACCGGAGGACUCGGGUCCCGGCUCGACUCAGUCCUCCAGCCGCCCGGGGAAUACCUCUAGUUCUUCCCGGCCGCCGCCGCCUCCGCCCCGCCGCUUCCUCCUCCGCCUGCCGGCCUCCUUCGCCCCGCCCCGUCCGCGCAGCUCGUCCGGCCCGCCCGCAGGCCAGCUUCUCUCGGGAGCCUCCACCCAGGCGCAUGGCUCCAUGAAGCAAGAGGAGGAGGCAGAGCGCGAGAGAUCCCGUCCGCCCCAGCCGCGUCUGGGCCAGGAGAAAAGCAAAACCAUAUUCCUGCUGCUGUCAGUUUUGAUGCACUGAGAAAACUUCAGAGACCUAAGCUUUUUCCAGAGAAGAGAAGCUUUACUGGUGUUCCAGCCCUAAGGCUCAUAUGACAUUAACAGACAAGACACUUUUCAGAAAGACAGGCAACGUGUUGGACCUUCCGGAGCUUCUCAGAAGACAGAGGGUUUUCUUUUGAGGCUGUUGUACAGUGGCCUGAUUAUAGCUCACUGUAGCCUCGAAAUUCUGGGCCGAAAUGAUCCGCCUGCCUCAGCCUCCAAAGUAGCUGAGACUACAGUACCGUCUGGCAAAUGAUCUGCUUGGAUCCUCCUGGCUUUUUGAGAAUCGGCUGGCAUCAGG
rnacentral:lncRNA from 10 species